GGGGGGGAAAUUUAUAUAUAUGGUGUUUUCCCCGUCAGGACGAACGCUGGCGGCGUGCCUAAUACAUGCAAGUCGAGCGGACCGACGGGAGCUUGCUCCCUUAGGUCAGCGGCGGACGGGUGAGUAACACGUGGGUAACCUGCCUGUAAGACUGGGAUAACUCCGGGAAACCGGGGCUAAUACCGGAUGCUUGAUUGAACCGCAUGGUUCAAUCAUAAAAGGUGGCUUUUAGCUACCACUUACAGAUGGACCCGCGGCGCAUUAGCUAGUUGGUGAGGUAACGGCUCACCAAGGCGACGAUGCGUAGCCGACCUGAGAGGGUGAUCGGCCACACUGGGACUGAGACACGGCCCAGACUCCUACGGGAGGCAGCAGUAGGGAAUCUUCCGCAAUGGACGAAAGUCUGACGGAGCAACGCCGCGUGAGUGAUGAAGGUUUUCGGAUCGUAAAACUCUGUUGUUAGGGAAGAACAAGUACCGUUCGAAUAGGGCGGUACCUUGACGGUACCUAACCAGAAAGCCACGGCUAACUACGUGCCAGCAGCCGCGGUAAUACGUAGGUGGCAAGCGUUGUCCGGAAUUAUUGGGCGUAAAGCGCGCGCAGGCGGUUUCUUAAGUCUGAUGUGAAAGCCCCCGGCUCAACCGGGGAGGGUCAUUGGAAACUGGGGAACUUGAGUGCAGAAGAGGAGAGUGGAAUUCCACGUGUAGCGGUGAAAUGCGUAGAGAUGUGGAGGAACACCAGUGGCGAAGGCGACUCUCUGGUCUGUAACUGACCGCUGAGGGCCGCG
rnacentral:rRNA from 1 species